CCCACCCUAAGGACAGCCUUCCCAGAGCUCCCCUCAGUGAUGUAAAGCCACCCACCCUCAACUAGCGGCAGGGCUCUCCAGCUGCCCUCUGCCAGGUUGACGGCCCUAGCCUAGGAGGGGAGGAAGGAAGAACAGGGAGAGAUGGGCCCUGGGGGAGGGAAGAGUGGGAGCAGGGAGCUGGACCCAGAGGCCAGGCCACCUGCCCACUUGUGCAGGGGCCCAAGCUUGCUCAGCUGGGCCUUCAGGGGAUUCAAGAGGCAGCACAGGACAGAGAAGUUUCCAUGACAGGCAGCAGGGGCCCGGGGCCGGGGAGUCAGGAGGCCUGGUUCCAGGGCCUACUCUGCCGAUACAGCCUGAAGAUGCGCUGCUCAGAGAAGACGGAAAAGGCCAGAAGCGUGUACAGGAGAGGAGCCCAUCCCACUGGUGCUGCUGGGGGGCCGUGCUGUACAUCCACU